UACGUAGGAUGCAAGCGUUGUCCGGAAUUACUGGGCGUAAAGGGCGAGCAGGUGGCACUUACAAGUCUGAUGUAAAAUCUCCCGGGCUUAACCUGGGAGGGGCCAUUGGAAACUGUAGAGCUGGAGUGCAGGGAGAGGCGUAACGGAAUUCCCGGUGUAGUGGUGAAAUGCGUAGAUAGUACGGGAGGAACACCAGUGGCGAAGGCGGCCCGCUGGGCA
rnacentral:rRNA from 1 species